rnacentral:rRNA from 1 species
CUUGGCGACCAUAGCGUUUUGGACCCACCUGACUCCAUUCCGAACUCAGAAGUGAAACGAAAUAGCGCCGAUGGUAGUGUGGGG